rnacentral:rRNA from 1 species
AUUGAACGCUAGCGGGAGGCUUAACACAUGCAAGUCGAACGAGCGGCGGACGGGUGAGUAAUAUAUGGGGACGUGCCCAAUAGCGGGGGAUAACUACUGGAAAGGUUGGCUAAUACCGCAUAAUCUCGGAACAACCCAUAUCGGAUUAGCUAGUUGGUGGGGUAAAGGCUCACCAAGGCAACGAUCCGUAGCUGGUUUGAGAGGACGAACAGCCACACUGGGACUGAGACACGGCCCAGACUCCUACGGGAGGCAGCAGUGGGGAAUUUUGGACAAUGGGAGAAACCCUGAUCCAGCCAUUCCGCGUGUAUGAGAAGGCCUUCGGGUUGUAAAGUACUUUUGGCAGAGAAGCGGUAUCUGCAGAAUAAGCACCGGCUAACUACGUGCCAGCAGCCGCGGUAAUAC